rnacentral:tmRNA from 1 species
GGAGCUAAAAACAAGGUGACUCGUCCUGUACCAGCCCGCCAGUUGGCGUGUCCGGGAUCAAAUUAAAUAACAUGGCUAAGUAUGUAGAACUGCCUGUAGAGUGCUUGCGGACGCGGGUUCAAUUCCCGCCGUCUCCACCA